UUUUAUUUUCAUUUUAUUUUCGUUUUUUUUUUGGAAUUUUUUCUUCUUUUAAUUAUUUUUUUUCCCUUGCUUUGGGAAGCUCCUCCCUCGCGGUGAAAUAACAAUCGUGAUAACCACAACGUCGGGUCGCUGAUUUACCCAUGUAUUUAAUGUAAAAAAACCGAACAAGAACACAAAAAAAAAAAAACAAAACAAAGGAAAAAACAAAAAAAUUCCAUAAAAACCAGAAUUCCCAACUUUUUGUGUGCUCAGGGAGGGGACGUGGCAACGACACCGAGGCCAUCCGGUGCCAGCAGCCGCUGCCAGAUCGCGGCCCUGCCCUGAUAACGCUUAUCAGAGCUCGCAGCUGCCUGGCACCUCUGGGGUUUUUCCCUUUUUUCCCUUUUUUCCCUUUUUUUCCCCCAAAUUCCCAGCGGGAAAUUCGGGAGCGGCGCUGCCCCUUUAAAUCCCCGUGGCCGCUUUAAGGCCCCCCCCCCCCGGUGCUGCGCCUGGUGUUGCCCCUUUAAGGCGGCGUUGGUGGGGCCCACCUUGCGUGCGGCCACACCCAGUUGGCCCCCGUUAAAGUAAACAGAGGGGGCGUGGCCAGGGUGGGUCGCGCGCUCCCCGAGGCCACGCCCAUCGCCCCCCUCUUAAAGCGGCCGCGCCCGCAGGGACAUCGCGGGACCGGAACCGUUACGCAGCGUCCCCGGGGCCGUUUCCCGGUGCCGGUGCCCGUCACAGCCGCGCUCUCCCGUCCCGCCGCCGCCGCCGCGAUGCUGCUGCUCCGGGCCAUGGCCGGCCGCAGGCUCCCGCCGCUGACGCAGCUUCCACGGGGCUGCUCCCGGCUGGCCGCCGGUAGCGCGACACCGGAGGGACAACCGGGAGCGGCACCGGGGGGACAACCGGGAGCGGCACCGGGGGGACACCGGGGAGCGGCCCCGGUGCUGGCGGCGCUGCUCGGGCUCGGGGCCGUCCUGGCCUACGGAGAGCGGCAGCGGAGGAGCGCCCAGGCCGCGCAGGCCCCCCCGGCCCCGCCGUACCCCCGUUACACCCGGGCCGAGGUGGCUCAGCACCGCACCCCGAGCGACCGCGUGUGGGUCACCUACGGCACCGACGUGUUCGACGUCACCGAAUUCGUGGAGCUGCACCCGGGGGGACCGGACAAAAUCCUGCUGGCGGCCGGAGGAGCCCUGGAGCCUUUCUGGGCUCUCUACGCCGUUCACAGCCAGCCCCACGUGCUGGAGCUGCUCCGUGACUACAAAGUGGGCGAGCUGAGCCCCGAGGACGCCGCGGCGACACCGGGGGACACCGCGGACCCGUUCGCCGGGGACCCCCCUCGCCACCCGGCGCUGCGGGUGAACAGCUUGAAACCUUUUAACGCCGAACCUCCCCCGGAGCUGCUGACCCAGAGUUUCCUCACUCCCAACGAGCUUUUCUUCACCCGUAACCACCUCCCGGUGCCCUCGGUGGAGCCGGGCUCGUACCGGCUGCGCGUGGAGGUUCCCGGUGGCCGAGCGCUGUCGCUGUCGCUGGCCGAGCUCCGCCGCCGCUUCCCGAAGCACGAGGUGACGGCCACGCUGCAAUGCGCCGGUAACCGGAGAUCCGAGAUGAGCCGCGAGCGCCCGGUCAAGGGGCUGGACUGGGACAUCGGGGCCAUCAGCACGGCGCGCUGGGGCGGGGCGAGGCUCCGGGACGUGCUGCUGGCCGCCGGUUUCGGCGACAAAAGCGGAGCCGCCGAGGACUGGCACGUGUGUUUCGAAGGUUUGGAUGCGGACGCCUCCGGGACUCCCUACGGAGCGUCCAUCCCGUUAAAACGGGCGCUGAGCGCCGAGGCCGAGGUGCUGCUGGCGUACGAGAUGAACGGGCGGGAGCUGCCGCGGGAUCACGGCUUCCCGGUGCGGGCGGUGGUGCCCGGUGUGGUGGGGGCGAGGAGCGUCAAGUGGCUGCGGAGCGUGGUGGUGUCACCCUCGGAGAGCCCGAGCCACUGGCAGCAGAACGAUUACAAAGGGUUCUGUCCCUCGGUGGAUUGGGAUUCCGUGGAUUUCCGCAGCGCUCCGGCCAUCCAGGAGCUGCCGGUGCAGUCGGCGAUCACCGAACCGCGGCCCGGGGCCGCCGUGCCCGCCGGGGAGCUGACGGUGAAGGGAUACGCGUGGAGCGGAGGAGGAAGGGAGGUGAUCAGGGUGGACGUGUCGCUGGACGGGGGCCGCACGUGGCGCGAGGCCGCUCUGGGGCCGCGGCCGGAGCGGGGCCGGGGCUGGGCCUGGGCGCUCUGGGAGCUGCGAGCGGCGGCGCCCGCGGGGACCCGGCUGGACAUCGUGUGCAAGGCCGUGGACAGCAGCUACAACGUGCAGCCCGACAGCGUGCGGGGCAUCUGGAACCUUCGGGGGGUCCUCAGCAACGCCUGGCACCGCGUGGGGGUCACUGUCACCCGCUGAGGGUCACUGUCACCCGCUGAGGGUCACUGUCACCCGCUGAGGGACAUUGGGGACAUUGGGGGUCACUGUCACCCGCUGAGGGACAUUGGGGACAUUGGGGGUCACUGUCACCCACUGAGGGACAUUGGGGGUCACUGUCACCAGCUGAGGG